CUGAGGCUCAUGAACAAAUGUGAGCAGAGCAUAUUUUUUUUUAAAAAAAUAUAUUUAUUUAUUAUGUAUACAAUAUUCUGUCUGUGUGUAUGUCUGCAGUCCAGAAGAAGGCACCAGACCUCACUACAGAUCCUUAUGAGCCACCAUGUGGUUGCUGGGAAUUGAACUCAGGGCGUUUGGAAGAGCAGGCCACUGAGCCAUCUCUCCAGCAGAGCAUAGUUUGAAUGGCAGAAUGUGAACCUUAACUCCAAAGCCCACACCUUUAGCUUCACACCCUCCUGGUUUCCACAGAUAAUCUAGGCAACCAAUAACUGGGAGUUACAGGGGCCACGAGAGAAAUGGUUCUUCCACCCCAGUGCCUCGAACCCUCAUGUUUGGUGUUAAAGUCUGUGUGCCUGUUGUGGAGUUGAUUUAGGAGGCUACUUGGUGAUCGCAGGCAUCUAGGAACACAGAAGGACGCAGAGCUGUGCUACACUCCCCCAGGCAUCGGUUUGCUCUCUCGGGUGCUCAAAAGGAAACGAAGAGGAAGACAGGAGAGACUUUCAUGAUUUCUCCCCGUGACUUCCAGCCCCCAACACCUGCUCGUAUUCGGUGUGUCCCCGGGCCCCAGCAUCCACAAAGGGGAACCAAGGAAAAGCAAUGAAAAUUAGGAUAAGUAAGACGGAAGAGGAGCCGGUUGGGAAAGCAAGCCGGGCUCAGGGGAGGGGCGAAUGGGCAACUGCACGGUGAUAGGGCAUUGGGAACUCAGUGCCGCCAGUGCCAAGAGGGGCCAUGCUCAGUAGAGUGCACAGAGGUCACAAGACACAGGGUCUGGCAGGUCAGCAGAUGGUGCUGAUCUUAAACCAGGAAGACAUCCGUUCAGGUCUCGGAGCCUGAGCGGAAGGGUACUACACAAUCACGAACAACUUUAGUAAUAAAUUUCACUGGAUGCGUGUGUAUGCUCGUCGGGUGGGCUGCACACACGUGCUACGGUGCACAUUGCGCAUGUGGUGGAGGUCAGAGGUCAAUUUGGAGGGAGUCAGGUCUCGCUCUCUACCAAGUGGGACCCAGGGAUCGAACUCAAGCUUGGCGGCAAGUGCCUUUAUCCGCUCAGCCUUAUCACUGGCUACUGGGUUGUUUUCUGACUCCGAGGCUCACCAAUUUGGAUAGACAGUUCAACACAGGGGCUCAGGAAUCCUCCCGGCUCCUCCCAGGAAUUCCCCAGGACACUAGCCCUGGCUUUGCAGGAUGGGAAGCAUUAGAAUCGCCCACUAAAGCAAAAGCGUGCUGUAAUUGAUUAGUGAUGUCUGCCACGGCUAAGCAGCAUCCAUUUCCCAGCCCAGGCUUGGCGUGCUGCUGAUCAUAAGGACCCAGCUUUGAAGGAGGUCAAACGU